AAGCUUAGUUGCCAUCAUUAAGUUGGGCACUCUAAGUUGACUGCCGGUGACAAACCGGAGGAAGGUGGGGAUGACGUCAAAUCAUCAUGCCCCUUAUGAUUUGGGCUACACACGUGCUACAAUGGACGAUACAAAGGGCAGCGAAACCGCGAGGUCAAGCAAAUCCCAUAAAGUUGUUCUCAGUUCGGAUUGUAGUCUGCAACUCGACUAUAUGAAGCUGGAAUCGCUAGUAAUCGUAGAUCAGCAUGCUACGGU
rnacentral:rRNA from 1 species